GUUGUCGUCAGCUCGUGUCGUGAGAUGUUGGGUUAAGUCCCGCAACGAGCGCAACCCUUAAGCUUAGUUGCCAUCAUUAAGUUGGGCACUCUAAGUUGACUGCCGGUGACAAACCGGAGGAAGGUGGGGAUGACGUCAAAUCAUCAUGCCCCUUAUGAUUUGGGCUACACACGUGCUACAAUGGACAAUACAAAGGGCAGCGAAACCGCGAGGUCAAGCAAAUCCCAUAAAGUUGUUCUCAGUUCGGAUUGUAGUCUGCAACUCGACUACAUGAAGCUGGAAUCGCUAGUAAUCGUAGAUCAGCAUGCUACGGUGAAUACGUUCCCGGGUCUUGUACACACCGCCCGUCACACCACGAGAGUUUGUAACACCCGAAGCCGGUGGAGUAACCUUUUAGGAGCUAGCCGUCGAAGGUGGGACAAAUGAUUGGGGUGAAGUCGUAACAAGGUAGCCGUAUCGGAAGGUGCGGCUGGAUCA
rnacentral:rRNA from 1 species